GACGAACGCUGGCGGCGUGCUUAACACAUGCAAGUCGAACGGAAAGGCCCUGCUUUUGUGGGGUGCUCGAGUGGCGAACGGGUGAGUAACACGUGAGUAACCUGCCCUUGACUUUGGGAUAACUUCAGGAAACUGGGGCUAAUACCGGAUAGGAGCUCCUGCUGCAUGGUGGGGGUUGGAAAGUUUCGGCGGUUGGGGAUGGACUCGCGGCUUAUCAGCUUGUUGGUGGGGUAGUGGCUUACCAAGGCGUUGACGGGUAGCCGGCCUGAGAGGGUGACCGGCCACAUUGGGACUGAGAUACGGCCCAGACUCCUACGGGAGGCAGCAGUGGGGAAUAUUGCACAAUGGGCGGAAGCCUGAUGCAGCAACGCCGCGUGCGGGAUGACGGCCUUCGGGUUGUAAACCGCUUUCGCCUGUGACGAAGCGUGAGUGACGGUAAUGGGUAAAGAAGCACCGGCUAACUACGUGCCAGCAGCCGCCGUAACAC
rnacentral:rRNA from 1 species